rnacentral:rRNA from 1 species
CUUUCGGAGCUAACGCGUUAAGUAGACCGCCUGGGGAGUACGGUCGCAAGAUUAAAACUCAAAUGAAUUGACGGGGGCCCGCACAAGCGGUGGAGCAUGUGGUUUAAUUCGAUGCAACGCGAAGAACCUUACCUACUCUUGACAUCCAGAGAAGCCAGCGGAGACGCAGGUGUGCCUUCGGGAGCUCUGAGACAGGUGCUGCAUGGCUGUCGUCAGCUCGUGUCGUGAG